rnacentral:rRNA from 1 species
UACGAAGGGGGCUAGCGUUGCUCGGAAUCACUGGGCGUAAAGCGCACGUAGGCGGCUUUUUAAGUCAGGGGUGAAAUCCUGGAGCUCAACUCCAGAACUGCCUUUGAUACUGAGAAGCUUGAGUCCGGGAGAGGUGAGUGGAACUGCGAGUGUAGAGGUGAAAUUCGUAGAUAUUCGCAAGAACACCAGUGGCGAAGGCGGGUCUCUGGGCCAAAACUGACGCUGAGGAGCGAAAGCGUGGGGAGCGAACAGG